rnacentral:misc_RNA from 1 species
GUGAGUCAUCGAAUCUUUGAACGCACAUUGCGCCCUUUGGUAUUCCGAAGGGCAUGCCUGUUCGAGCGUCAUUAUCAAAGCAUCAAGCUUGGCUUGUCGUUGGGCCCUUUGUCACCUGGUGACAGGUCCAAAAGAUAAUGAGCGGUGUCAUAAGGACUCUAUAUGUAACGAGCUUAUAACAGCACGCAUCUAGUAGUCAUGUGGCCCGGUUCUCAUCCCUUUAUUUCUCAAGGUUGACCUCGGAUCAGGUAGGAAUACCCGCUGAACUUAAGCAUAUCAAUAAGCGGAGGA